rnacentral:lncRNA from 1 species
UAUGAGAUGCUUACUUUAUGUAUAUUUAUUUUUUAAUUUUUUGAUGACUAUAUGAACAUUCAGCAACGUUAACCCUUUUUAUAUUUUCUUUUUAAAUACUGCAUAAUUAAUGGAAGAUCAUGUGCUCUCACUUACGGAAAACUAUAACUAAAAGCAAAAACUAUCAUGUGAUAAUGUAAAGCUAUGUGGUCCAAACUCCCUCCCCAAACAAUGAGAUUGUAAAUUAACAAUUGCAUAAAUUAUCUAUAAUAUUAAAAUAGAAUUAUAAAUAAGAAUUAUUUAUUAAAUUUACAACUUAUUUACAAUCGUAUGCCACUAAAUUAAUUAAUAAGCUUAAUUUUAAGCAUGUAUUACAGU